GAACUUAAACUAAAUUUCACUUGUGCGGCAACACUAUGAGCUGAUGUGAUGUGAUGCCCGAACUAAUUGCAGCUAAUUGAAAUGCACGCCUGCGACUCUUUCGAAAUUGUUGUUGAAGUGUCUGUGACUCAAGUGAAGUGACAGGCUCCGUGCCGGAGGCAAAGUCAAACGGUUUCAAGUGCAAAGUGCGUGAAAAAUCGAAUCAUUGAGGCUCUGCUCCUCCAGCUCCAGGUGCGUUCGAUCGCCUUAACCAAAUAUUUAUGCAAACGCCAAAUGUGCCACAGGAAGAACGCAAUGUCACGUCAACAUUCGCAUCAAAUGUGCCAUGAAAAAUAAAAACAAACUCAAACUCAAACAAAAGCCUCAUUACAUGUCCGUUACUGCGUACCCACUCUCAGAUACAGAUACAGCGACUGGCACACACACAGAUAAAGAUGGGGGCUCGGAUAAGGAGAACGGCCUAAAUGGAUUCUCAGGGCAACACGGGAUGUAGAAAAGCAGCAGCCCAACGACAAAGUAACGAAAUUUGUGGCAAGAGCUCGUGAGGCACUCGCAGAGCAUUACCCGUUCGAUAUCCAAACGCGGGAAACUUUUCAUUCUUCGAAAGAUAAUCCAAAACAUUGAUAAGCCAUAAACCGAAAUGGAGUCGAAAUGCUGGACAAAUUAGCAAAUCGCUCACGUGCCUGUGACUUUUUCUGCUCGACAACACCCGAAAUAUUUCUACGAACUCAACUCGGACGGGGACGCGGACUCUGAUUUUCUAUUUUGGCGGUGGAGGUGGCGCUGGCCCAGCGGGCAUAGCAUUUCCGUAUGCCUGGAGUCGAAGAUUCUCGGCGUGUCCGGCGAAGUUGGCUGGCUAAGAACUCGUCACCAUAUGCUCGCUUCUUUUCAUUAACAACUUGAUCAUGAUUAGCAUCGAUAAGACCGAGAGCCUGCUUAGAAUUCUGUGGGGCUCGCAAACCUGCUUGGCGUUCAAAAAUGCCUUAGGCCAGGUCGCAGAUAUGUAUACGGGUCAUUACACAUUAUCUAGACAGUGGACUUGGACUUCCGCUUGGCAGACUUCCGCAUAGAUGUAACAGUAAACCAGUUCCAAUGUAUCUCUCCGGCCGAUCGACCAUCCAUAUCAAUUAAAAUAUGUAAAUGAAACAAAGCCAAACAAAAAGGCCAAUGUUGCGCGAAAAAAAGACAAACCCAAACUCCAAGCUAACCUCGAGUAUGUUUCUGUCUCUGCGGCAGAAGAAACCGAAACCAAAGAAAGGAAGUCUUUACGAAGCUUCAAAUACCCUUGUAUCCGAAAAAUAUUAUGUUUUUUGAUUACAAACCAAUUGGGGAAAAAACUUGAAUUAAUUAAGCUUAAACGAA